AUGGAGCUGUAUCCUUUUUCAAUUAGCAGCAUCUACAGGUAUGGGGCUCCUAAAUCCAACACUGAAAUAGAGAAAGUGGCUGAGAUAAUAAUGGCAUCUAUUCUGCCUUUCUCUUUGCAGGUGUCCUCUCCCAGGUCCAGCUACAGCAGUCUGGGGCUUAGCUGGGGAGGCCUGGAAACCUCAAUGAAAUUGCCCUGUAAGGCUUCUGGAUAUACAUUCAGUGACUAUAACAUAUACUGGGUAAAGCAGAGUCAUGAAAAGGGCCUAGAGUGGAUUGGAUUUACUUAUCCUGGAAAUGGUGGUACUGGCUAUGCUCAGAAGUUCAAGGGGAAGGCCACGCUGACUGCAGACAAAUCCUCCAGCACAGCCUACAUGGAACUCCACACGUUGAUAUCUGAGGACUCUGGGGAUUGUUAUUGUGCAAGACACUGUGUUGCAAUCAUAUACUGA